AGAGUUUGAUCCUGGGCUCAGGACGAACGCUGGCGGCGUGCCUAAUACAUGCAAGUCGAACGCACUCUCGUUUAGAUUGAAGGAGCUUGCUCCUGAUUGAUAAACAUUUGAGUGAGUGGCGGACGGGUGAGUAACACGUGGGUAACCUGCCCUAAAGUGGGGGAUAACAUUUGGAAACAGAUGCUAAUACCGCAUAAAACCUAACACCGCAUGGUGUAGGGUUGAAAGAUGGUUUCGGCUAUCACUUUAGGAUGGACCCGCGGUGCAUUAGUUAGUUGGUGAGGUAAAGGCUCACCAAGACCGUGAUGCAUAGCCGACCUGAGAGGGUAAUCGGCCACACUGGGACUGAGACACGGCCCAGACUCCUACGGGAGGCAGCAGUAGGGAAUCUUCCACAAUGGACGAAAGUCUGAUGGAGUAACGCCGCGUGAGUGAAGAAGGUUUUCGGAUCGUAAAACUCUGUUGUUGGAGAAGAAUGUAUCUGAUAGUAACUGAUCAGGUAGUGACGGUAUCCAACCAGAAAGCCACGGCUAACUACGUGCCAGCAGCCGCGGUAAUACGUAGGUGGCAAGCGUUGUCCGGAUUUAUUGGGCGUAAAGCGAGCGCAGGCGGUUUCUUAAGUCUGAUGUGAAAGCCUUCGGCUCAACCGAAGAAGUGCAUCGGAAACUGGGAAACUUGAGUGCAGAAGAGGACAGUGGAACUCCAUGUGUAGCGGUGAAAUGCGUAGAUAUAUGGAAGAACACCAGUGGCGAAGGCGGCUGUCUGGUCUGUAACUGACGCUGAGGCUCGAAAGCAUGGGUAGCAAACAGGAUUAGAUACCCUGGUAGUCCAUGCCGUAAACGAUGAGUGCUAGGUGUUGGAGGGUUUCUGCCCUUCAGCGCCGCAGCUAACGCAUUAAGCACUCCGCCUGGGGAGUACGACCGCAAGGGUUGAAACUCAAAGGAAUUGACGGGGGCCCGCACAAGCGGUGGAGCAUGUGGUUUAAUUCGAAGCAACGCGAAGAACCUUACCAGGUCUUGACAUCCUUUGACCACUCUAGAGAUAGAGCUUUCCCUUCGGGGACAAAGUGACAGGUGGUGCAUGGUUGUCGUCAGCUCGUGUCGUGAGAUGUUGGGUUAAGUCCCGCAACGAGCGCAACCCUAUUGUUAGUUGCUACCAUUAAGUUGAGCACUCUAGCGAGACUGCCCGGGUGAACCGGGAGGAAGGUGGGGAUGACGUCAAAUCAUCAUGCCCCUUAUGUCUAGGGCUACACACGUGCUACAAUGGCGAGUACAACGAGACGCAAUACCGCGAGGUGGAGCAAAACUCAAAAACUCGUCCCAGUUCGGAUUGCAGGCUGAAACUCGCCUGCAUGAAGCCGGAGUUGCUAGUAAUCGCGAAUCAGAAUGUCGCGGUGAAUAAAUUCCCGGGCCUUGCACACACCGCCCGUCA
rnacentral:rRNA from 1 species